rnacentral:rRNA from 1 species
AUACGUAGGUGGCAAGCGUUGUCCGGAAUGACUGGGCGUAAAGGGUGCGUAGGCGGCUUAUUAAGUUAGAAGUGUAAUACCUGGGCUUAACCUGGGUGCUACUUCUAAAACUAAUGAGCUUGAGUGUGGGAGAGGUAAGUGGAAUUCCUAGUGUAGCGGUGGAAUGCGUAGAUAUUAGGAGGAACACCAGUGGCGAAGGCGACUUACUGGACCAUAACUGACGCUGAGGCACGAAAGCGUGGGGAGC